rnacentral:lncRNA from 1 species
GCUAGGCCUUAGCGCCUUGAAUUCUGGGCAAGGGGUGGUGCUAAGGCAGCCGGGAGGUCCUGAGGAGCAGAGGCCGGAGUUUCCGGUGGUGGAAGAGCUCGGGUGGCCGCUUUGGUGAGGAGAUCUUUCCUCAGGCCAUGGUACCUGGCUGACUAGCUGAGGCAGGAAACCUCCCUCUUUCCUUCUCCGGUCCGCCGUGGUGACUGCGGCGGCUUCAUUGAGUGUAUAUUUUCUCAGGCCUGGCUGCCUGGCUGACUAGCUGCAGGAAGAAAGCCCCUUCCUUCGGUCUCGGGCCGGUCCUGGUGGCUGCGCUGAGUGGGCUCCCGAACACCAGGGAGGCUGCUUCCACUCAGAGGAGACAGCGACGGCAGUAUGGAGGUGGUGGGGCCUACCGCGGUUCCACAGAAACUGAGCCGUAAGAAGUACAUGGCUCUCCGGAAGAAGGAGAAACGUAAGAAACGACGGCAGGAGCUUGCUCGUCUGAGAGAUGCAGAACUGUCACAGAAAGAAGAGGAAGAAGAUCCUCUUGGUGAAGAAAAACGAUUAGAAGAAGAAAGGUUGUUGGAGGCAGAGAGGCAAAGAUUACAUGAAGAAUGGUUGCUGAGGGAAGAGAAGGCACAAGAAGAAUUCAGGGCAAAGAAGAGAAAAGAAGAGGCAGCUCGAAAACGGAAGGAAGAACUAGAG